AAACCGUCCCCUAAAUUUUGCAACUGUAGUAGUUUUGGCCCCCAAGGCCAAUUUUUGAUAAAAUAAAAAAAUAAAAAAUAAAAAACACGUGGCACCUCACUUAGGGUGCCACGUCAGCUUAGAUCGAGUCAAAAUUGGCCUUGGAGGCCAAAACUGUCACAGAUACAAAACUUAGGGGACGGUUU
rnacentral:pre_miRNA from 1 species